UACGAAGGGGGCUAGCGUUGUUCGGAAUUACUGGGCGUAAAGCGCGUGUAGGCGGGCCGUUAAGUCGGGUGUGAAAGCCCAGAGCUCAACUCUGGAAUUGCCUUAGAUACUGGCGGCCUGGAUCAUGAUAGAGGCGAGUGGAAUUGCGAGUGUAGAGGUGAAAUUCGUAGAUAUUCGCAGGAACACCAGUGGCGAAUGCGACUCGCUGGAUCAUUGCUGACGCUGAGACGCGAAAGCGUGGGGAGCAAACAGU
rnacentral:rRNA from 1 species